UUUGCUAAAGAAAGAAAAACACAUAUAAACUAAGAUUAUGAAAUCGUAUCAUUUACAUUUGUCUGGAUAAAAAACAAAAACAAAAAACAUGAUUACAAAGCUUUCCUGAAGUCCAGUCAUUCACAAUUCCAGAAAAACUAACUUUUGGUAACUUUUUUUGGUUUUGGUAGAAAUUAAUAUUGCAAACCAAUGUCUUAUGUGGUGCAAUCUCUAAAUAAAACUGAGCAUAACCAACACCCCCCCUCCCCGCUCACCCAAUUGUGAGUUACCUCUCCUUCACUGGUCAGCAUCACCACUUCUAUAGUAAGAAUAGUUUUUUGUGUGGAAAAAUCCUUUUUGUCUCAAUAUUCAAAUAUGAUAGCUCAGAACCUUCCAAAACUAGCAGCAGUGGCCCACUGGAAACCUACAAAUAUCCUCUUUCACAGUUGUACAAAACUCCUGUUUCUACGCCUACAUAGUUGUGAAAUACUGGACUUUAAUUUGUCACCAGACUAGGAAUGAGUAUUGCUCAACCUGAACCUCUUACCAGUGACAUUCUUUUAAUGGAGUAAGUGGGAGUGCCAUCUUGUUCAGGACACCCAAAACUGAGCCACUGCGUUACUCUUCUGUCUUAGCAAGAGGAGACACACUUUAAACCACAAUAUCACCCCAGCUCCUGGAGUCAAGUGGAUGUGUGAUAAUUUCAGCCUUCAUUCUUAAAGAAAAAAUGAUCUUUUUUCAUUUAAAGAGGAUGGAGGAAGUGUGAGCAAAACCCAUUCACUCAUUUUGAAUUAUUCAAAGCUAUUCGCAGAUGAUUCCAACGGACUUCAAUGGGAGUUGUGUGGAAAAAGGUAGGACAAAACUAGGUCAUAAAGAGUAUGUAGAAUGGGGAUUACCACACAUUUUAUGUAGCAAUGCAAAUGUAUGUGGCAUUUUACAAAAGAAAGUAAGGCAUGUUCCUUGUCUCAAACAGAUUACCCUUCCCCUUAUAUUUAUGACAAGACUGUAAACACCUUUAAAAUCCCUCCUGGCCAGAGGAAAAACCCUUUCAUCUGUAAAGGGUUAAGAAGCUAGGAUAAUCUCACUGGCACAUGACCAA